AUCCUGGCUCAGGAUGAACGCUAGCUACAGGCUUAACACAUGCAAGUCGAGGGGCAGCAUGAACUUAGCUUGCUAAGUUUGAUGGCGACCGGCGCACGGGUGAGUAACACGUAUCCAACCUGCCGAUGACUCGGGGAUAGCCUUUCGAAAGAAAGAUUAAUACCCGAUGGCAUAGUUCUUCCGCAUGGUAGAACUAUUAAAGGAUUCGUCG
rnacentral:rRNA from 1 species